AACACACUCCUUAGGUCUCUCUCUGAGUGCUGAUUGCAGCUCCAGCCCAAAUGCCCCUAGCAGCUGGAGGUGCUUGAGUCAUUGGCGUGUGCGAACAAUCUACCUGCUCCCCAGCCCAUUUCCUGCACUGGCAGCCUCACUGGAACACUACCAGUGCAGACAGGCUGGGGAGCGGACAUG